rnacentral:rRNA from 1 species
AGAGCGAACGCUGGCGGCAGGCCUAAAACAUGCAAGUCGAACGCCGUAGCAAUACGGAGUGGCAGACGGGUGAGUAACACGUGGGAACGUGCCUUUUGGUUCGGAACAACACAGGGAAACUUGUGCUAAUACCGGAUAAGCCCUUACGGGGAAAGAUUUAUCGCCAAGAGAUCGGCCCGCGUCUGAUUAGCUAGUUGGUGAGGUAACGGCUCACCAAGGCUACGAUCAGUAGCUGGUCUGAGAGGAUGAUCAGCCACACUGGGACUGAGACACGGCCCAGACUCCUACGGGAGCAGCAGUUAGGAAUCUUGGACAAUGGGCGCAAGCCUGAUCCAGCCAUGCCGCGUGAGUGAUGAAGGCCUUAGGUGUAAAGCUCUUUCAGCGGGGAAGAUAAUGACGGUACCGCAGAAGAAGCCCCGGAUAACUCGUGCCAGCAGCCGAC